rnacentral:rRNA from 1 species
CAGCCGCCGCGGUAACACGUAGGGUGCAAGCGUUAAUCGGAAUUACUGGGCGUAAAGCGUGCGCAGGCGGUUAUAUAAGACAGAUGUGAAAUCCCCGGGCUCAACCUGGGAACUGCAUUUGUGACUGUAUAGCUAGAGUACGGCAGAGGGGGAUGGAAUUCCGCGUGUAGCAGUGAAAUGCGUAGAUAUGCGGAGGAACACCGAUGGCGAAGGCAAUCCCCUGGGCCUGUACUGACGCUCAUGCACGAAAGCGUGGGGAGCAAACAGGAUUAGAUACCCGUAGUCCCUGUCUCUUAUACAA